GAUGAACGCUGGCGGCGUGCCUAAUACAUGCAAGUCGAGCGAACAGAUGAGGAGCUUGCUCCUCUGACGUUAGCGGCGGACGGGUGAGUAACACGUGGAUAACCUACCUAUAAGACUGGGAUAACUUCGGGAAACCGGAGCUAAUACCGGAUAAUAUAUUGAACCGCAUGGUUCAAUAGUGAAAGACGGUUUUGCUGUCACUUAUAGAUGGAUCCGCGCCGCAUUAGCUAGUUGGUAAGGUAACGGCUUACCAAGGCAACGAUGCGUAGCCGACCUGAGAGGUGAAUCGCCACACUGGAACUGAAACACGGGCCAGGCUCCCACGGGAGGCAGCAGUAGGGAAUCUUCCGCAAUGGGCGAAAGCCUGACGGAGCAACGCCGCGUGAGUGAUGAAGGUCUUCGGAUCGUAAAACUCUGUUAUUAGGGAAGAACAAAUGUGUAAGUAACUAUGCACGUCUUGACGGUACCUAAUCAGAAAGCCACGGCUAACUACGUG
rnacentral:rRNA from 1 species